AAAAAAAAUUCCAAGAGUCAUCUAAAGGAAAAACAACGCUGUAUGCAUUAGAUGAUAUACAACUAAUUCAGCCCACCCUUUCCACCCCACAGCUAUAUAAAUUCAAUACAGCACAGGGGCUAAGUAAACCAAUGCAACACCUACUAGACAACUUGACUAUUACACUGACAAGCCUUCAAGCUGAAUAUGGAGCACUUUAUUAGGAUUGCCUUUUGGAUUGUUUCUCUCUCUGGUUGUCUUCAAACAGAAUCACAACCCAUUCAUGAUGCCCGAAUCGACUUCCAUAUCGACCCUAGGCUGAAAACCGUCAAUUGUCCAUCAAGUUCAAUAUUCUAUACUCCAUCAAAUGUUCAGAGAGAAUGCUUUACUAAAGCACUGGAAUGCGUUAAGAAAGAACUUAAUGGAACGGCCAAAGCGGAAUGUGAAGACCCCUACGACUACAUAAGCGUGGCUCUUGAACAACUGCAUGAGCUGACUGAAGAGCUGGGGAAGAAAGGCAAUGCACCGAAAAGCUCAACUAAAUGUGACUGUGAGCUGUGGUCUGAAACUCCUUUCGGUGAGUUUCUCAACAAAACAGAAAAUUUACUUCAGGCGAUAAAUACUGCACAAGAGGAAACAACUGAUCCCUAACUAGUAUGAGACGACACGACCAACCAUCGAUUCUCAAGCAGAUGGACUUUUCAAGAACAUAUAUCUUGGGUGUUUUCAGGAUUUUAUAUAACCAAGCAACAUCUAUACAUGUCGAGGAGAAUGAUCUCAGGUAUAUCUGUUUAUAGUGAUGCUAUGAUACUGAACACUGCUCUAAAAUAUUUAUAUUUAUAGCAUUGUGACUGCAAUAUGGAGACGGUACUGAAUGUGUUUUUUUACUACAUAUUAAUAAUCCUAUUACACAAUUAUGUAUUUUUUCACUCAUUUCUACAAGAAUCUGCUGUGAAAUGUAUUUUAAAGUUCUCAGUCUCCAAUAAUGAGAACGUAUUUGAUGUAAGCUCCUGUAAAGCUCUGAAUUUCUAUUUAUAUAUUUAAUAUUUAAUUUAUUUGCUGUAUAUUGGUGCUCUAAACCCGAGGGUGUAACUUAA